GGCCUUUAAAUCCCUGCGAAAGCGUCUAUAUGGGUCGUGUCGGCUUCGGCCGACUAUGGCGAUAAAGUGCAGCGUCGCAUAGGCGCAGCGGACCCGGGGGCGGUACCCGGCGGCUCCACCAUUUGAGCCGAUCGGCCAGCACGCGUGAAGCGUGUCGGCCGAGCGGCUUAGCUGAAGGGGCCGAACUAGGAUCGACGUGUGUUGAAAAACGCUGUUUUCGCUCGGGCUGAGUAACCCGUUAAAGGCUCAAAACCACAAGUGCCAACGAUAACGAAGCACUCGCGAUCGCUGCGUAACUAAGUCCCUCACGGGAUAAGGUUACAAAGCUUAGCGCGGCAGGGACCACGCCGGGCAACAGAAGUGGAAACCAGCGGUACGGGGAGCACCGGGCAACAGAAGCUCCCCACU
rnacentral:tmRNA from 1 species